AAGACUAUACUUUCAGGGAUCAUUUCUAUAGUUUUUUACUAGAGAAGUUUCUCUGACUGUGUAGAGCACUGGAAACCACGAGGAGGAGGUGCAGUGUUCUCUCCUGAGCGUGAAGCUGGCCCUGGGUGCCGCUCUGUGCAGAUGCCCUUUGCCAUUGAUGAUCGUUCUUUUCUCCCCCGGGAGAGUAAGAGGGAGAGAAUGCAGUCUGAGUGGGU
ensembl:snoRNA